AGGUUGCUUGGGUGACAAGAUCAGGAAAGACAGAGCUGGCGGAGCCCAUCGCUGUGCGUCCCACUAGUGAGACAGUGAUGUAUCCUGCCUAUGCCAAGUGGGUUCAGUCACACAGAGACCUGCCAAUCAAACUCAACCAGUGGUGCAACGUCGUGCGUUGGGAGUUCAAACACCCCCAGCCCUUCCUGAGGACCAGAGAGUUUCUUUGGCAGGAGGGACACACAGCGUUUGCCACUAAAGAGGAAGCUGCAGAG